rnacentral:rRNA from 1 species
AUACGGAGGGUGCAAGCGUUAAUCGGAAUUACUGGGCGUAAAGCGCACGCAGGCGGUCUGUCAAGUCUGAUGUGAAAGCCCCCGGCUCAACCGGGGAGGGUCAUUGGAAACUGGGAGACUUGAGUGCAGAAGAGGAGAGUGGAAUUCCAUGUGUAGCGGUGAAAUGCGUAGAUAUAUGGAGGAACACCAGUGGCGAAGGCGGCUCUCUGGUCUGUAACUGACGCUGAGGCUCGAAAGCGUGGGGAGCAAACAGGAUUAGAUACCCUGGUAGUCCACGCCGUAAACGAUGAGUGCUAAGUGUUGGAGGGUUUCCGCCCUUCAGUGCUGCAGCUAACGCAUUAAGCACUCCGCCUGGGGAGUACGACCGCAAGGUUGAA